UGGGGAAUUUUGGACAAUGGGCGAAAGCCUGAUCCAGCAAUGCCGCGUGUGUGAAGAAGGCCUUCGGGUUGUAAAGCACUUUUGUCCGGAAAGAAAUCCUUGGCUCUAAUACAGUCGGGGGAUGACGGUACCGGAAGAAUAAGCACCGGCUAACUACGUGCCAGCAGCCGCGGUAAUACGUAGGGUGCAAGCGUUAAUCGGAAUUACUGGGCGUAAAGCGUGCGCAGGCGGUUUGCUAAGACCGAUGUGAAAUCCCCGGGCUCAACCUGGGAACUGCAUUGGUGACUGGCAGGCUAGAGUAUGGCAGAGGGGGGUAGAAUUCCACGUGUAGCAGUGAAAUGCGUAGAGAUGUGGAGGAAUACCGAUGGCGAAGGCAGCCCCUGGGCCAAUACUGACGCUCAUGCACGAAAGCGUGGGGAGCAAACAGGAUUAGAUACCCUGGUAGUCCACGCCCUAAACGAUGUCAACUAGUUGUUGGGGAUUCAUUUCCUUAGUAACGUAGCUAACGCGUGAAGUUGACCGCCUGGGGAGUACGGUCGCAAGAUUAAAACUUAAAGGAAUUGACGGGGUCAUAGCUGUUUCCU
rnacentral:rRNA from 1 species